rnacentral:rRNA from 1 species
CCCCUAGAUGUUCUGGGCCGCACGCGCGCUACACUGAACAGUUCAACAAGUCUUAACCUUGGCCGAUAGGUCUGGGUAAUCUUUGAACGCUGUUCGUGAUUGGGAUAGACCUUUGCAAUUAUGGGUCUUCAACGAGGAAUUCCUAGUAAACGCAAGUCAUCAGCUUGCAUUGAUUACGUCCCUGCCCUUUGUACACACCGCCCGUCGCUCCUACCGAUUUCGAGUGGUUCGGUGAACCUUUCGGACCGGCAAUGCCUCGUGUUGCGCCGGAAAGUCAAGUAAACCAUAUCACUUAGAGGAAGGAGAANUCGUAACA